rnacentral:snoRNA from 1 species
CCCUUCUCAGAGUCACAUCUGGAGAGUUUCCAGUACUCUACCAGUUUCGACUAUGAGAGGGAGAGUCAAGCAGAGGCAUACCCAUUCCAUUCCUAGCUUGAACAGUGGCUAGUGAGUGGAAGGCCAUCUGCUACAAGU